ACGUCUGCUGGGGACCCUUUCCUCUUUAUGUCUAGAUUUUUCUCUUUUCUCAUCCUUUGUUCUCUCUCUUUUUCUUCCAUUAUCUUUAGUAACACCAGCUCUGCUGUCUCUUUCUGUCUCCUUUCUUUCUUCCUUGACAUUAGAAGGAGAGGGCCUUUUCCUUGAUUCAGAUUCCUUGGCUUUUUCCCCUGACUUACGACUUCUCUCUUUCACUCUAUCUUUUGAACCAUCUAGAUCGUCCACCUUUUCCUUUCUAACAUGCCCUUCCUCAUGGUUCCUACGGUUUCCUUCUUCUUUCUCAAUUUUUCU
rnacentral:lncRNA from 1 species